CAAAGCACAUCCCUCCAAGAUUUUUCUCGUACAUAAGGGAGCUCGAGAAAAAUAAAGAAGUGGACAUUAAAUAUGUACGGUCAUGCGACAAUCCAGCUGACUUGUUCACAAAAGCCCUUCCGACUACAACGUUCCGAAAACACGUCUAUAGUAUCGGAAUGCGGCAUUUGCAUGACCUGUGACAAGAAAGCUAGAUCCACUAUUCUCAGGGGGAGAUUACGGGCAGUGUACUCUUU
rnacentral:lncRNA from 1 species